rnacentral:misc_RNA from 1 species
GCAUUUCAAGCAAGCCAAUAGCUUCCUUCCAUGUCAAGAAUUUAAUACGACAACAUUCUCCUGAAGUAGUCAAGUAACUAAUCCUGAAACAUAAACUAAUUUACAAAAGUGCAAGUAGAUGACCUCAACACAGAAGAAACUCUACCAAUCCAUUAUACAUGGAAAGAGUUGUUUUUCUUCUCUGAUUCAACACCGUGUACAUUUGUAACAUUUUACUCACUAAAAAAAAAAUGAAGAAAG